rnacentral:rRNA from 1 species
UGCUAGUCGUACGCCCAGAACCAUGUCUGGGAGUGGCGUACUGCUCAGUAACACGUGGCUAACCUGCCCUUGGGACGGGGACACCCCCGGGAAACUGGGGUUAAUCCCCGAUAGGUGAAGAACUCUGGAAUGAGUCUCCGCCCAAAAGGUGCUUACACUAUGCUUGUAGGCGCUGCCCAAGGAUGGGGCCGCGACCGAUCAGGUUGUUGGUGAGGUAAUGGCUCACCAAGCCUUUUACCGGUGCGGGCCGUGGGAGCGGGAGCCCGGAGAUGGGCACUGAGACAAGGGCCCAGGCCCUACGGGGCGCAGCAGUCGCGAAAACUUUGCAAUACACGAAAGUGUGACAGGGCUAUCCCGAGUGCCAUCCGCUGAGGAAGGCUUUUACCCAGUUUAGCACGCUGGGAGAAUAAGGAGAGGGCAAGACUGGUGUCAGCCGCCGCGGUAAUACCAGCUCUCCGAGUGGUGUGGAUGUUUAUUGGGCCUAAAGCAUCCGUAGCUGGCUGGGCAAGUCCCCUGUUAAAUCCACCGAUUUAAUCGUUGGUGUGCGGGGGAUACUGCUCGGCUAGGGGACGGGAGAGGCAGACGGUAUUCCCGGGGUAGGGGUGAAAUCCUAUAAUCCCGGGAAGACCACCAGUGGCGAAGGCUGUCUGCUAGAACGCGCCCGACGGUGAGGGAUGAAAGCUGGGGGAGCGAACCGGAUUAGAUACCCGGGUAGUCCCAGCUGUAAACGAUGCAGGCUAGGUGUUUGGACGGCCACGUGCCGUUCUAGUGCCGCAGGGAAGCCGUUAAGCCUGCCGCCUGGGGAGUACGGCCGCAAGGCUGAAACUUAA